UACAGAGGGUGCAAGCGUUAAUCGGAAUUACUGGGCGUAAAGCGUGCGCAGGCGGUUUGCUAAGACAGGUGUGAAAUCCCCGGGCUUAACCUGGGAACUGCGCUUGUAACUGGCAAGCUGGAGUGUGGCAGAGGGGGGUGGAAUUCCACGUGUAGCAGUGAAAUGCGUAGAGAUGUGGAGGAACACCGAUGGCGAAGGCAGCCCCCUGGGCUAACACUGACGCUCAUGCACGAAAGCGUGGGGAGCAAACAGG
rnacentral:rRNA from 1 species